GACGAACGCUGGCGGCGUGCUUAACACAUGCGAGUCGAACGGAAAGGCCCUGCUUUUGUGGGGUGCUCGAGUGGCGAACGGGUGAGUAACACGUGAGUAACCUGCCCUUGACUUUGGGAUAACUUCAGGAAACUGGGGCUAAUACCGGAUAGGAGCUCCUGCUGCAUGGUGGGGGUUGGAAAGUUUCGGCGGUUGGGGAUGGACUCGCGGCUUAUCAGCUUGUUGGUGGGGUAGUGGCUUACCAAGGCUUUGACGGGUAGCCGGCCUGAGAGGGUGACCGGCCACAUUGGGACUGAGAUACGACCCAGACUCCUACGGGAGGCAGCAGUGGGGAAUAUUGCACAAUGGGCGGAAGCCUGAUGCAGCAACGCCGCGUGCGGGAUGACGGCCUUCGGGUUGUAAACCGCUUUCGCCUGUGACGAAGCGUGAGUGACGGUAAUGGGUAAAGAAGCACCGGCUAACUACGUG
rnacentral:rRNA from 1 species